rnacentral:tRNA from 1 species
GUGGAAAGAAUAGCUCAGUUGGUAGAGCGCAACCUUGCCAAGGUUGAGGUCGCGAGUUCGAGACUCGUUUUCCGCUCCA